rnacentral:rRNA from 1 species
GAUAAACGCUGGCGGCGCACAUAAGACAUGCAAGUCGAACGGAGUUGUCUAACGGAAGUUCUUCGGAACGGAAGAUAGAGAACUUAGUGGCGGACGGGUGAGUAACGCGUGGGUAACCUGCCCUUUUGUGGGGAACAACUUCGAGAAAUCGGAGCUAAUACCGCAUAAGCUUUUGGAAUCGCAUGAUUCUAAAAGGAAAGAUGGCCUCUGAAAAUGCUAUCGCAAAAGGAUGGACCCGCGUCUGAUUAGCUGGUUGGUGAGGUAACGGCUCACCAAGGCAACGAUCAGUAGCCGGCCUGAGAGGGUGAACGGCCACAUUGGGACUGAGACACGGCCCAA